rnacentral:rRNA from 1 species
GACGAACGCUGGCGGCGUGCCUAAUACAUGCAAGUCGAACGAACCGCGACUAAGUGCUUGCACUAAGUCAAGGUGAGUGGCGAACGGGUGAGUAACACGUGGGUAACCUACCUCAUAGUGGGGGAUAACAGUCGGAAACGACUGCUAAUACCGCAUAGGACAUAGGAUCACAUGAUCCAGUGAGGAAAGGUGGCGCAAGCUAUCGCUAGGAGAUGGAGCCGCGGUGCAUUAGCUAGUUGGUAGGGUAAAGGCCUACCAAGGCGAUGAUGCAUAGCCGACCUGAGAGGGUGAUCGGCCACAUUGGGACUGAGACACGGCCCAAACUCCUACGGGAGGCAGCAGUAGGGAAUCUUCCGCAAUGGACGCAAGUCUGACGGAGCAACGCCGCGUGAGUGAAGAAGGUCUUCGGAUCGUAAAGCUCUGUUGUUAGAGAAGAACAGCGCAUAGAGUAACUGCUAUGCGUGUGACGGUAUCUAACCAGAAAGCCACGGCUAACUACGUG